GCUGAUUCUAGACUGUAUCACAUGUUCUAGUAGCUUCCCGACGCAUGACGUGAGGGAUAUUGGCCUCAAGUUUUCGAUACCCGGUGGCUUGUUCGGCUUUGGGAUUAGGACCGCUUUGGCGGUCUUCCACUGCUGCGGUAGUUUUCCGUCUCUCCAGCACCGGUUGAAAUAUUUAGUGAGGGCGGAUAUUGUCGUAUCACUUAGAUUUCGUAGUGCUUUGUUAGUGAUCUGGUCUAUCCCGGGCGCCGACUUGCAGUUGAUCGAUUGGAGCACUGCACGCACUUCCCAUUCUUCGAUAUCCUCGUCCAGGGGUGCGUUGUCCGUGCCGGUGUAUAUCGG
rnacentral:lncRNA from 1 species